GCUUCAACCUUGACCUGACUUUAUCCUGAAUUUUUUUCUGCCAGCCCUCAGAAAAAUUUCCAUGAGAAGUGAGAGCUGAAAGAUAUGAGGAAGGUGAGCUGAUGUGAGAACAGACAGAAAAUUUCCUGCCUGUAGAGUUUUCAUACAGCUGUGAGAGUGUUAGCUAACAGGAUGAUUAAAAAAUCUAAAGCUGAAGAAAGUGGAAGAAUAUUUUUAUUUUUAUUCUUAAUACAAGAACAGCUGAAAUGUAUGCACAAACAUUAAGAUAAGAACUUUAUUAAUACCCGAAGGGAAAUUCAAUUGCCUGUUGUCUCAAAUAAUAUGUCUAUAAAAGUUAUCUAUUAUUUACAUAAGAGUUAUAAAGUCUGAUGGCUGUUGGUACAAAAGAUCUGAAUCUUUCUGUCCUGCAGCGAAGAGAGAGGAGCCGUCCACCAUCAUUUGCCCUUUGGUCCAUCAAGGUGUUUUGAAGUGGGUGAUCCAUAUUCUUCAGAAUAGUCUCCACCUUCCUCGGUGUAGAUCUCUCCACCACAUCCUCCACUGAGUCCAGCUUGAAUCCAACCACAGAGCCAGCCUUUUUCACCAGUAUUUUCAGACGUCUUGCAUCUUUGUGUUUGAUGCUUCCUCCCCAGCAGACUGCAGCAUAGAACAGAACACAUAUCAGCACACAUUAGUACAUAUCGUUGAUAUAAAUCACAGCGUUGAACUCUAUUCCUUUAUUCAUCAUAAGGUGCACUUGUGGCUUUCGCAGCGUAUUUCUUUCGCCACGUUCUGCUUGUCCUGAGAUUCUCUUCUGUUCCAAUAGUUGCACUCGACAUUAGGUCAAGGACUCCACAGAACUGUGGAGACUCAUCUUGACAGGAGGAUGGAUAUGUGCACCGAAUGGGGGUAAAAUCGAAAUAUGUCCAUGUGCUGAUAAUAUCAAACAGCUUGUUUGUGGUUUUCAGGUUGGACUGGCCUUCAGUGAUCAAAGCUACAGCAGGCUGUGUCCACAUGUUGUUGACUAGACACAGUGAAUUCUUCACAAAGGAUUCUUCUCUUGAAGGAUAUUUGAACAAAAGGUUUAAAAAUAAUACACAACAAAGAGAUGGGUGUGUGUUGUGUCAGACUGUUUUUAUGUUUUAAAGCUGCGUACCUAGAGUACUUUGACUUGUCUUCUAAGGAGGUCUUUCUGAAGUAUCUUGGUCUUUAUUUUUUUCUGCUUUCAUGAAUGUUUUUCAUGCAGUUCCAUCAGAUUUUGCUUUGAUUCUUUUCUGUUUUUGUUGGAACAGCAGAUGAAAAACUUGGAAUAUUAGAAACUCUACAGUCAGCUCUACAGUCUCUCCUUUUGCGUUAAAUUACUCAUCUCAUGCCAAUGUUUGUGCCACUGCAACUCUUUGCAGCUCAAUGCAGACAAAACUGAAACACUGGUUAUUGCCCCCAUUGACUCAAUUCCAGGGAAUAAACAGUACUUAGGUGGCUUAGGCCAGUCAGCUAUACCUAGCCUAAGAAACCCAGGUGUCAUCUUUGACAAAGACAUGUUCUUAGUGCAACACUGUAAACAGUUGACGAGAAACUGCUUCUUUCAACUGAGGAAAAUCUCUAAGCCUAGGAAAAUGGUGUCACAAAAUGACUUGGAGCUCAUCACUUGUGCCUUUGUGUCCUCAUGUUUAGACAAUUACAAUAGUUUGUUUUUAUGUUUGAACAAAAAGGAGCUGUCUCGUUUGCAAUUAGUGCAAAACUCUGCAGUGAGGAUUCUGACCUGCGCGAAUAGGAGGACACACAUUUCCCCUAUUCUUAAAGCUCUACAUUGGCUGCCUGUGUCCUUUAAGAUCAAUUUUAAAAUUCUGGUCCUUGUGUUUAGAGCCUUACAUGACCAGGCUCCAUCUUACAUAUGUGAUCUAAUCCAGCCUUACACCCCCUCUCGGGCUCUGAGGUCCGUGGAUCAGAAUCUACUGAUGGUUCUGCACACUCGUUUUCAGACCAGAGGAAACAGCUUUUUCUAUGCUGUUUCUCCCAGGCUUUGAAUGAUCUUCCUCUCUCUCUGGGUUUAACUGACUCUAUUUGCUCCUUUAAAAACCAACUCAAGAUAUAUUUAUUUGCUCAGGCAUUUUGUUUAGUUAUUUUUGGGGCUGCCAUGAUUGUUAAUGUUGUUGUCUUGGCCUUUUAAAUACAUUUUUGCCUUUUGUUUAUGUUAAGCACUUGGUGACUUUUUGUCAGUGAAAGAUGCUAUAUAAAUAAAGUUUACUUACUUUACUUACUUUCUACUUGUUGCUGAUGAGGAUUUACUGACCAUAAAUCUAAAAUAUCCUCAUCCCUGUUACAUACUGCUUAUAAAUUUACUAAUUUACUUACUUAAAUGCUCUCUUUGUGCCAAAGUGAUGUCUUUUUGAUAGCUUUGAUAGCUCAUCAGUUAGAAGACAGGCUCAUAAAUACUGUUAACUCCAGAGGCUCCUGCUGGCAAUUUUACAGUUUCUGCUGUUCUACACAGACUUGUCUAUCAUUGUUAAACAUUGAUUGAACUUAAGGUUAUUUGUAGAUAGACUCACAAUUAUGCAAGUAUUUUAUUCUAGUUGCGUUAACACCUGUAAAAAAAUAAAUAAAUAAACGAUAAUCACACUGAAAUUUACAUGUAAGAUUGUUAGUUACUCUGUUUUAUUUUACUGGUCAAGAGGAAGACCAUAAUAUGUUUGUACUGUAUUGUAUAAAAUAUUCCUUUAAUUUGCAGUUUCUUUAAGUGUCAGUCUUUGCCACAAGAGGGCAUCAUUGUAUCAUCCCCUGAAUACUCCUUCUGACUCCUCAUGUCAUAAUGCAUAUGCAAAUACAUAUAACUGUUCAUGUUUUUGACACAGAACUUCAGUAUAUUUUUCUGACAGUGUUCAGCAUGGCAAUAAAAUAAUCCAAAGUCAAGCUCCUAUGUACAUGUAUAAAAGUCAAAGCAGCUCUGAAACACUUCUUCACAUUGGUCACUAGGGGUCAGUGUGCAUAAAUCCUACUUCUCAUGUUAACUCCCAUCCUUACCACAUGUCAUACACAUAUACCAUCUGUGUAAACAUAUUUGAGGCAGAACUCUGCAUUAAUUUGGACAGAUUGCUGAGGCUCAACCAAGAUAAUGGAUCAUAAUGUCACCACAGACAUCAUAUCCUUGCAGGCAAUUCUUAAGGUUUUUUUUUUUAUUAUUAUUAUCUUAAUUACUAUUAUUCUUAAGGUGAUGAAGCAUACACCCAUUUUAACAGUCACAUGGUUUAUGGUUUUUCCAGAGACAAGAUAGCUGACUCACCUUUGGUCAGUUAACACUGUAGUGUUUCACAACAAAAUAAUGUUAUGGCGUGAUGGCUCGUAUGGAUAAUCCUUUUUUAUUUAAGUAAAUCCUGAUUAAGUAUGAUGUUGAUUUUCUCUGGUUGUACAGGAAUGACCAGCCUAGUGAUGAGAUGAUUCUGCUCCAGCAAAAACUUAAUUUUACACCCCAGCACUGUACAUUUAAUAGUACAAUAAAUAUGAGUGGAACACUUGGCAAAAUACAGACUAAAAAUUUCAGAUUGAAAUGCUCACCUACUCUCCUCUCUAAUCCAUGAAACAACAAUGUUAUCCUCCAUUUACCAACUUUUACCAUGAAAUACUUAAAUCUGUACAAUUUUAAUUGCACUCACCAGCAACCACUUUCCUCUCCACUUUGUCUUACCACCAUUGUAUUUCCACACCAUUGUGUUUCCACACCAAAACACACAUGUUACCAGUCUGUCCAUUCUGGGCUACUGCAAGAAGAGAACCCACUCAUAUGUGUGUGUGUGUACAGUAUAGCCUAUACAGUAUAAAAGCCUCAUUCUAAGUUAAUACCACACCCUUAAAUAUUAUCAUAUUUAGGUGAUUAUACACCAAUCUAAACACACUUAAAUAUAUUAUAUUAUAUUUCUACACAGUCUGUUCUGAUAAAUGCUGCCAAAUUCUACAGACUGUACCUUUAAAACACAUGUAAUAAGUAAGUUUCAUGCAUAGCUAACACAGUAGUAAGCCAUGGCAUUUUUUUGUUUGUUUUGUAAUUAACAUUACCUUUGGGCAAUUCAAUAUUUUGUGUUUUUAAUAGAUCAUACUCUGCACAAUUAGAAAUUAUUUAGAUUUUGGGCAGUGACAGGGCGCUGACUUUUGCAGGGAUGGCAUGAAGCACUGUAUAGGUGCACACGCAAACCAAUACACUCAAGAAUAAAUAGCAUGUUUACCUCUUUAUCUGGGCUAAUCAUAUCUACUAUUUAAAUUGAAGCUCCUGUUUAAGGUUUAUGAAAUCAGCUUGCAUUCAUGUUGAUGGUUUUUUAUAAUUUCUGGAGUGAAACUAGACCAUCAGCAACAAGAUUGUUGAUUUUCACAUCCUUUUUUGAUGCCUGUAACCAGUGCAGGCCACAAGUGUCGACCGAGCAGCUGAAGAAAUGUUGACAAUAAACCAAACAUGUGAUUGUCAAAAGUUAGCUGGAUGAGGUUUAUUGUUUAUUAAGCAAGCACUAUAUAUUAUCUAUAUUCCUGCAUAUUUUUCCAUACAACAAUCUCAAGAAUGGAGAGACGGAGCGCUCUCAUCAUCUUGAAUCUUAAAGGAUUUAAAAAAGAUGGUGUGUGUCCACAUCACAUCUCAGUCACCUCUAGUCCAGCCCCUAUGUGGGAUCUCAGACGAUGAUGAUGUAACAACAGUGUCAACAAAAACCAUAUGGACAGAAACAGACAAGGAUCUCACUGAGUUCAUUCUUGCAGGGUCACUUCCUACAUUUAUCAUUUUUAUGUUGGACCUCAGACAGUUAGUCAGCCAGAUCAGACAGCAGAGGGACUCAGAGGCUAUUGAAGAAAUGUCUAUUCAUCCUAUCCUCUUAUUCAUCGCUGCUCUCGUGCACUAUUCUUCCAUCAAGGUUUCUUCCUUUUACACAUUCAUGAAACAUGAAACUUCUCCUGACUGAACCUUUUCCGAGAACUGUGUGAGCGAGUCUUGAACACAUUGUGUUCACCAUGUCCCGGACUCUCCGGUAAGGUCUGUCUCACUUGUUAGAGCAGGAAAACCUUAACUUUAUCUUCUUUGUUGUUGUUGUUGUUGUUUCCAACACAUCCAGCUUGGUGACCUUGGUGAACUCUAGACUCCACCCAACUUCAACCUGAGCAGAAGUCUAAUGAGGCAGAGUAACUGAAAGCAUCUGUUUGGUUGUGAAAGGAAUUUGUCAAACUAGCACUCCCCUGUAUUCCUGAAGCUGCUUUUCUUGCUCUUUGUGGUACCAAAGUGAAAGUUAAGCAUCUAGUUGGUUUUCUCAGAGGAGGAUAUUGAUUUGCCUCUGUUUUAGCUAAUUCCACUUUUAAAACUUGAAACUUAAAAGGAAAAACACUCUCACAGCCAUCAAAUAAGUCCUUAUAACUUGUUCUGAGUCCUGGGGUCAAAGGUCAUAUCCAUGCAAACAGGGCAGCUGACAGAAGGAAAACAAUCCAGCCACUCUGUAACUAAAUAUCAUACUUUCUGUCACUGGAUAUGGCGGGGUUUUGAAGCAGGAGCUCUGCAGGUGUGUGGGUCUCACACAUGUGAGGUAAACUCUUACAUAAGAAUCAUCAUACUCACUUUGCCUUCAUGCAAAUGUGUGUAUGGCCAGUCUGUCAGGGAAAACAGAUGCAGCCUGAUCUCUGCUAAGCACACGCACAUGGACAAGAAUAAAACUCUUAUGCAUUUUUUUUUUUUUAAGAUCCGUUUCCUUGCUUUCAUGAUAGUCACUCAGCAACGUACUGUAUAUACUUAUUUCACACUUUUGGCUCCAGAUCUUACGGUCAAGCUUUUUAGUCCUGUGAUUCAGAGAGGAAUGAUGCCAAAGAGGAAAUCAAAUCAGUCUUUUGUGGCAAGAAGAGUUUCAGAUAACUGUAUCAAACAACCCCAUGUUUAAUCAUUUUAUUCCAUAUUUUCCAUGCCCCGGGGACAAAACACACUCUACUACACUAACAUAUCUCAGGUGUGACAUUAUGUAAGCAACAUGCAACCUGGCUUUCAUUAUGUAAAUGCAUGUGGCUUGGGUUUCAGGCAAAGUGACUUCCGAAGCUGACAGCUGCAUCCUUUGUCUAUUCCUCGACUGCGGUGGAAAAUACUGAUACUGAUCAUAAACAGAUCUGCUUAAGCCUGAAAAAUAGCUUCAGGAAAACUCCCUGUAGGCCAUGUGGGCUAAUUUGGGACAGACUAGAGUUUCCUAUGAAAUAAGAAGACUUUCCAUAAAUAUGCAUCAGUCUGAGGAGGCAGCCAAGAGUUAAAGAACCCAAAAAGACAGCCAGUUUUUGGAGAUUAAUCAUGCUGGGAGAUACUUGAAAUAGAGUCUUACAUGGUGAAUAAUGUUGGUUUUGUUGUAGUAGAAAUAUGGCACCUUAAUAGGGCUUCACUAAACCAUUUUACAGGCUAACUGUCCCUUUGGUACUCUGUUUAAUAAACUCUUACAGUUCUUUUUAAUCAUACAAGUAAACAGUAAUAAAAUAAUAUGCAUGGGAAAUAUUUGAACAGUGCAUUUUAAUAAUAUUAAUCACUUUAGAGGUUUAGUUUAGAGAAAUGGGAUUAGAAAUAUCUGGCAGUCAGAUUCUGGACUGAAAUGCACCCCUGCUGAAGCGAUGGUGGCCUUCAGGGACAAAAAGCUCCUGUUUGUCAAGUUUUUGCAUCUAAUACAAAGUCUUCUGCGAAAAAACAAUGACUCAGUUCACCUUUUGAUUUGGGCAUGUUGUGCAGAUAAUCACUUAAUUAAAAAAUAUGUAUGUUACCAGUAUGCCCAUUGCCCAUUCUGUGCACUGUAGAGAUACACCCCACUUCUUAUGUGGGUACAAAAGGCUAAUUUAAAGUUAACAUAUUUAAACACAUAUUUAAAAAUGUCAUAUUUGUUUUCUACAAAGUCUGUCUUGCUUAAUGCUACUGACGGUUACACACUGUAUCUCAAAGAAAUGGAAGGCAGCAGUGGAAAGCAUGCACACACUCACACUAGCUGUUCUGUAGACGAGUACUGCAUUCACUAGACAAAAAGUCUCACUAAGUUUGUUUUUUCUAAAUAACCAAGAUGCAGGUCCCCAAUGGAAGGUC